AAUCUUCGAAUUGGAUCCGGCUUAUUACUUUUUGCAGACUGUUAGAGCAAUUUUAUAAAAGUCCACAUCAAUUUUGCGAUGCUGGAAAUAUUCCAGUACACUUUUACUCAAUUGCAGCUAGAUUACUGCAUACAGGAAUGUUUCAGCUUUUCAUUUUACCAAUGGAUGGCAGCACAGGUGCAUACUUUUGAAGAAAUCAAAGCUGCAAGUGGAUUGUUUUGCAAAAAUGGCGCCGUCGAAAAGUCUUCGAAAACGAUGACUUUGAGAAUGCUCCAGAGCCUUUUUCACCCUUGGCUUCGUGUUUUGAAUACCUGAGCGUGAAAUGUUUUGAAGAAGUAGCUGCCUAAACUAAUUUGUAUUCUGUUCACCAGAAAUAUAAAUCUGUGUGAAAUAUAAUUUUUUUUUUUUUUUUUCUGUGUGUGUGUGUGUUGUAAAAUGUGAACUGUGGAACAGUUUGUCCAGAUGAUUAUCACGUAUCCAUAUAUUCAGUGACAUAUAAAGCCAAAGUUUGCAUUUACACUGUCAGUAUUCUAGAAUAUUUCUGAAAAAGGAAACAUAAAUAUCUUAAAAACAUA